rnacentral:rRNA from 1 species
CGGCCUGCGUCCGAUUAGCUAGUUGGUGGGGUAAAGGCCUACCAAGGCUCCGAUCGGUAGCUGGUCUGAGAGGACGAUCAGCCACACUGGGACUGAGACACGGCCCAGACUCCUACGGGAGGCAGCAGUGGGGAAUAUUGGACAAUGGGCGCAAGCCUGAUCCAGCAAUGCCGCGUGGGUGAAGAAGGUCUUCGGAUCGUAAAGCCCUUUCGACAGGGACGAUGAUGACGGUACCUGUAGAAGAAGCCCCGGCUAACUUCGUGCCAGCCGCCGCGGUAAUU